rnacentral:rRNA from 1 species
AACGAACGCUGGCGGCAAGCUUAACACAUGCAAGUCGAACGGAUUUUUAUCAUAGCUUGCUAUGAUAAAAAUUAGUGGCAGACGGGUGAGUAAUGCAUAGGAAUCUACCUAGUAGUAUGGGAUAGCCACUAGAAGUGGUGGGUAAUACUGUAUAAUCCCUGCGGGGGAAAGAUUUAUCGCUAUUAGAUGAGCCUAUGUUAGAUUAGCUAGUUGGUAGGGUAAAGGCCUACCAAGGCAGUGAUCUAUAGCUGGUCUGAGAGGAUGAUCAGCCACACUGGAACUGAGAUACGGUCCAGACUCCUACGGGAGGCAGCAGUGGGGAAUAUUGGACAAUGGGCGCAAGCCUGAUCCAGCUAUGCCGCGUGAGUGAGGAAGGCCUUAGGGUUGUAAAACUCUUUCAGUGGGAAAGAUAAUGACGGUACCCAC